rnacentral:rRNA from 1 species
GACGAACGCUGGCGGCGUGCUUAACACAUGCAAGUCGAACGGAAAGGCCCUGCUUUUGUGGGGUGCUCGAGUGGCGAACGGGUGAGUAACACGUGAGUAACCUGCCCUUGACUUUGGGAUAACUUCAGGAAACUGGGGCUAAUACCGGAUAGGAGCUCCUGCUGCAUGGUAGGGGUUGGAAAGUUUCGGCGGUUGGGGAUGGACUCGCGGCUUAUCAGCUUGUUGGUGGGGUAGUGGCUUACCAAGGCUUUGACGGGUAGCCGGCCUGAGAGGGUGACCGGCCACAUUGGGACUGAGGUACGGCCCAGACUCAUACGGGAGGCAGCAGUGGGGAAUAUUGCACGAUGGGCGGAAGCCUGAUGCAGCAACGCCGCGUGCGGGAUGACGGCCUUCGGGUUGUAAACCGCUUUCGCCUGUGACGAAGCGUGAGUGACGGUAAUGGGUAAAGAAGCACCGGCUAACUACGU